UCCUGGGAGGGGCGAGAGGAGGCAAGGGCUGAAGGGGAAAAUAAACAGUGGUUGUCUGGAUAGUCUCAGGCCCAGGCGGGACUGAGGACGCUCUCCUCGCGCGGUGGCUCCUUGCCCUUAUAUGGCAAGCCUGCUCCGAGCUAGGAACCCUGCCUGUCAUUCCUCACCUCAGUCACCACUCAGAGGACAGAGGGCCACCACUGGUCACCUGGGCUGCUGCUGAGAAGCCGGGCAAGGCCCAGCACAUAUCUCAGGAAUCAUCUACACAAACUGAGCAGCCAUCUUGGUCUCUGACGAUGUAGCAGGUGGGAGGAGAUAAUACUGGGUUGAAGGGAACCGUCUGGUCCAAAUUUAACUCCCACCUCAGAGUCCUUUCCUUCUUGGGACCUCUGUUUCUCUCCGUGUAAAAUGAUAAUACGGAAAAAGAGGAGGACAGAACCAGCCCCAUGGGGUGAGAGCAAUUGCUCCCCCAUUUUGCAGAAGGGAAAACAGGCCCAGAGAGGCUAAGGACAACUAUGCAACCAAACAGGACACGAGAUGGAGCGACAGAGGCUCAUGGAACCACAGCUGCUUCAGGCAAAUGCAAGAUUCAAACCCUAGCAGCCUGGGCUGGACCUGGCCGUGUGAUCCCAGCUUCCCAUGACUUCACAUCGUUCUUAUAGCAUUUUGAUCAUCUCUGCCUCGUUUCUUCAUCUUGGACACUGGGGACCCCCACCCUCACCUCCACCCCUGCAGAACUCUGUAUCUUCAACAGACCCAAAAGUGGCUUGAAGGAGCUGGGCUGUGCGGGCCAGGAGAGUGGACAAGGCCCGCUGUGCAUCAGGCACAUUUCAAAUUGGAGAAAAGGUCUGUGGUGUUUGUGCGGCUGCCACCGACAGAUUGUUUUGCAAGGAGGAAAACGGCUGACCCCAGAGCUCUUACAAUGUGUGCUGAGGCCAGAUCCCUGUGGGGUUUGUCUAAACAGGCUGUGAACAGCGGCUGCUCCCUGACUCUGUCCACCCAAGCCUUGCAGCUCACCCCCAGGCACUGGACCCAGGGUACACCAGGAUGACUACCGCUCAGCUCCCCUCACCCCUACCAGGGUCUUCCUGAGAGUCUGUGUGAUAUGGCUGCUCUGAUAGAACAAAUUCCUAGGUAUCCAUGUGGAUGAGGAUCAGCAGCCUGCAGAAUACACACAAGUCUGCCUGCCUGCCUUCUUUCCUUCCUUCCUUUGUGGUACUAGGAAUGAACCAAGGGCCUCACACAUGCCAGGCAAGUGCUUCUACUAAGCUGCAUUCUCAACCCUCUUCUUUACAAUAUUUGAUGUAUACAAAAUAAAGUAUGUAAUAUAUA